rnacentral:tRNA from 1 species
CGCGGGGUGGAGCAGCCCGGUAGCUCGUCAGGCUCAUAACCUGAAGGCCGGGCCGCAGGUUCAAAUCCUGCCCCCGCAACCA